rnacentral:ribozyme from 1 species
UGCCCAGCAACUCCUAUCCCUACCUCCUCGAGGUACGAGUAACCUUGGGGAAGAUCGGGUAACCAACCCCCGGUGGGAACUUUGGUCGUAUGCUGACAGGGAAGG